rnacentral:lncRNA from 1 species
UCCUGAUCUCAAAACUUCAACUAUUGAUCCUAAACACCCUUCUAUGUCCAUGAUUCGGGAUUUGUUUUUAUCAUAAAUGGAUAAGUUCAGCAUUGCAGUCACAGAAUUCUCUUGUGCCAAGGCAUCCGAAGAUGAAAGUAGCGAUUUCAGACAGGGUAUUGCACCAGCCUCCGCAAUGCAAGCACGAUUUUCUCUUCCCGAUUUUGCUAACAAUCUUAUCUCUCUGGCAGCCACAGUCUUCGCCUUUUCCGUUCCACUUGCUAGCCGUUCAACAAGAAGAUCUGCUGUGGCUUUAGUAGCUUCCAUUGCAGCCUUGCUCGGCAAAGCAGCAGUGUAACUCUCAGAAGAAGAAUCCACACUCUCUGGCGGAUCAUAUGGAAUCCCAUUAGCAAGACACCACUGCAUGAUCAAAUUUCUCAGAGCCCGAUUUGGAACUAACCGAGUAUGAACAAGCAUCUGCCCCGUCUUUGGACAAGUACUGUGCCCUUCCUCCAUCCACCUUGAUAUUGAGAGCCGAUCAUAGGUCUGCCCUGUCGAUACUGUCACCGGAUCCCACAUAAAAUCCAAUGAUAUUGGGCAGCAGAAAUCCUUGGGAAUCGUAAUAAACGUAUCUGCAAUCUCCUGGGUAAUCAGUCCUUUCUUCGUCUUCUUAUGCCUCCACUUUCCCAAUUCACCCUCCUCAUCCUCAAAUCUGAACAGCAAGAACCCACAGUAUCGUGUUAAAGCCACAAAUCCAUUCAGUACUGAGGCUGUAGGCUCAAUAUCCCCCUCACAAUUCACAAUCUGCUCCUCCAAGAAUUCAAUCUCAAAUCUAAUACUUUUCACAUCACGAAUGGCCAAUUUUUCCACAAAAAACAAGUACAGUUCAUUCUGAUCAGGAACCUUUCCAUUCUCAAGUUCAUUCAAGAAAUUAUAAAACUUCAUCCUCAAUAUAUCAUCGUUC